rnacentral:rRNA from 1 species
GGCGAACGGGUGAGUAAUGCGUGACCAACCUGCCCCAUGCUCCGGAAUAGCUCCUGGAAAACGGGUGGUAAUGCCGGAUGUUCCCGCGCCCCGCAUGGGGGUGUGGGGAAAGCUUUUUGCGGCGUGGGGAUGGGGGUCGCGUCCUAUCAGCUUGUUGGCGGGGUGAGGGCCCACCAAGGCUUCGACGGGUAGCCGGCCUGAGAGGGCGACCGGCCACAUUGGGACUGAGAUACGGCCCAGACUCCUACGGGAGGCAGCAGUGGGGAAUAUUGCACAAUGGGCGCAAGCCUGAUGCAGCGACGCCGCGUGCGGGAUGGAGGCCUUCGGGUUGUAAACCGCUUUUGUUUGGGAGCAAGCCCUUCGGGGUGAGUGUACCUUUCGAAUAAGCACCGGCUAACUACGUGCCAGCAGCCGCGGUAAUACGUAGGGUGCGAGCGUUAUCCGGAUUUAUUGGGCGUAAAGGGCUCGUAGGCGGUUCGUCGCGUCCGGUGUGAAAGUCCAUCGCCUAACGGUGGAUCUGCGCCGGGUACGGGCGGGCUGGAGUGCGGUAGGGGAG